rnacentral:lncRNA from 1 species
UGAACUCAUUCCAUUUGUAACUAUCAUGGGACAACAUGGCCACAACUCAUAAUGUAUAACUGUAAGUGGGUAACAUUGUAUCAAUAACCUACUGUUCUUAAGACGUGAAUACAUAUGGGCCGUCAAGGCCUCUGACAUGCUGUACAAACUGAACCUCUAUCUACAAAGCCUCUAAGAUUAUUUGACAUCAAAUGGGACAGGGUACCGGCCUACCCAUAAGUCUGAAGCAAAACUCUAAUAUGAUGACUCAUAAAUUCGGCUACACUCAAAAUGAGGUGGAGUCUUACCAAUCAUUCGUUGAAUGCUAACCUCGUCUACUAUGGGGGCUCAUCAAAUUAAUUACUUAUACCUGCAGGCAUGAAUGCACCGUCCAAAACAAAAGGACGUCAGUACAAAUAAUGUAUCAAGUAUGUAAGGCAUGUAAAUCAAUACAUAAAGAAGAUGAAAGAAACAUGGAUUACAUGACUCAACAUGUAAGUCUAGAUAACUCUGUAUAUCAUUUAAUACUUACAGUGUCAUAGCAUGAAUAUCAUAUCGUGCAUAGGUACAUGUGUUCAUAACAUCAUCAAGCCUAUGAGGGCAUCCCGUUAUAUCAUCUCAGCCAUUGUGGGCAAAACCAUCAUCGUAUACCAGCUGAUCAGGUGGUGGUGCGUAUAUAACGCCACAACCUUUCGCAUAUCCCAUAUACAUAUACAUAUAUAUAUACAUAUACAUAUACAUAUACACA